rnacentral:rRNA from 1 species
CACGCCGUAAACGAUGAGUGCUAAGUGUUAGGGGGUUUCCGCCCCUUAGUGCUGCAGCAAACGCAUUAAGCACUCCGCCUGGGGAGUACGGCCGCAAGGCUGAAACUCAAAGGAAUUGACGGGGACCCGCACAAGCGGUGGAGCAUGUGGUUUAAUUCGAAGCUACGCGAAGAACCUUACCAGGUCUUGACAUCCCACUGACCGGUAUAGAGAUAUACCUUUCCCUUCGGGGACAGUGGUGACAGGUGG